rnacentral:rRNA from 1 species
AGAGUUUGAUCCUGGCUCAGGAUGAACGCUGGCGGCGUGCUUAACACAUGCAAGUCGAACGGGAUCCAUCAGGCUUUGCUUGGUGGUGAGAGUGGCGAACGGGUGAGUAAUGCGUGACCGACCUGCCCCAUACACCGGAAUAGCUCCUGGAAACGGGUGGUAAUGCCGGAUGCUCCGACUCCUCGCAUGGGGUGUCGGGAAAGAUUUCAUCGGUAUGGGAUGGGGUCGCGUCCUAUCAGGUAGUCGGCGGGGUAACGGCCCACCGAGCCUACGACGGGUAGCCGGCCUGAGAGGGCGACCGGCCACAUUGGGACUGAGAUACGGCCCAGACUCCUACGGGAGGCAGCAGUGGGGAAUAUUGCACAAUGGGCGCAAGCCUGAUGCAGCGACGCCGCGUGCGGGAUGACGGCCUUCGGGUUGUAAACCGCUUUUGAUCGGGAGCAAGCCUUCGGGUGAGUGUACCUUUCGAAUAAGCACCGGCUAACUACGUGCCAGCAGCCGCGGUAAUACGUAGGGUGCAAGCGUUAUCCGGAAUUAUUGGGCGUAAAGGGCUCGUAGGCGGUUCGUCGCGUCCGGUGUGAAAGUCCAUCGCUUAACGGUGGAUCUGCGCCGGGUACGGGCGGGCUGGAGUGCGGUAGGGGAGACUGGAAUUCCCGGUGUAACGGUGGAAUGUGUAGAUAUCGGGAAGAACACCAAUGGCGAAGGCAGGUCUCUGGGCCGUUACUGACGCUGAGGAGCGAAAGCGUGGGGAGCGAACAGGAUUAGAUACCCUGGUAGUCCACGCCGUAAACGGUGGAUGCUGGAUGUGGGGCCCGUUCCACGGGUUCCGUGUCGGAGCUAACGCGUUAAGCAUCCCGCCUGGGGAGUACGGCCGCAAGGCUAAAACUCAAAGAAAUUGACGGGGGCCCGCACAAGCGGCGGAGCAUGCGGAUUAAUUCGAUGCAACGCGAAGAACCUUACCUGGGCUUGACAUGUUCCCGACAGCCGUAGAGAUAUGGCCUCCCUUCGGGGCGGGUUCACAGGUGGUGCAUGGUCGUCGUCAGCUCGUGUCGUGAGAUGUUGGGUUAAGUCCCGCAACGAGCGCAACCCUCGCCCUGUGUUGCCAGCACGUCAUGGUGGGAACUCACGGGGGACCGCCGGGGUCAACUCGGAGGAAGGUGGGGAUGACGUCAGAUCAUCAUGCCCCUUACGUCCAGGGCUUCACGCAUGCUACAAUGGCCGGUACAACGGGAUGCGACACGGCGACGUGGAGCGGAUCCCUGAAAACCGGUCUCAGUUCGGAUUGGAGUCUGCAACCCGACUCCAUGAAGGCGGAGUCGCUAGUAAUCGCGGAUCAGCAACGCCGCGGUGAAUGCGUUCCCGGGCCUUGUACACACCGCCCGUCAAGUCAUGAAAGUGGGUAGCACCCGAAGCCGGUGGCCUAACCCUUUGUGGAUGGAGCCGUCUAAGGUGAGACUCGUGAUUGGGACUAAGUCGUAACAAGGUAGCC